CUCCUCACUAGAUGUGAGAAAUUGGUCUAGCAGAUUAUUCUUCUUCUUGGGUAGAACAUUGGCUUAAGGAUAGAGUACAACGAGUUAUCAUUAAUGGUAAAUUUUCAUGCUGGACAAAAGUGGUAAGUGGUGUCCCUCAGUGUUCUGUUUUGGGACCACUUUUUAAAAUAUUUAUAAAUUAUCUUGAAAUGGGCAUUGAAAGCCAUGUUUCGGUGUUUGCAGAUAUCUAUAGAAUAUAGAAUGCACACCAUAACAAUCUCAAAAAAACUGCUGCUACUCUCCCUAGAAGUGGCUGUCC